GCCAUCUUAGCUCAGUUAGGUAGAAGCACAUCCAUGGUAAGGAUGAGGUCGGCGGUUCGAAUCCGCUAGAUGGCU
rnacentral:tRNA from 2 species